rnacentral:miRNA from 1 species
UGAGAUCAUUGUGAAAACUAAUC